UGUAGAACAUUAAUUAUGAUGAUUUUGUCCACCACACUUUCCAAAAAGAGAUGCCUGUUAUUGAACAACCUGUUUGUCAUUGGCAGUGCUGUGAUGAUGCUAUUGAGCAAAACGUCCUUUUGAGAUGAUCAUGGUUGGACAUUUGCUCUACGGCGUUAAUGCAGGUCAGCUGAUUUUCAUCUUAUGAAUUGAUAUCAUUAUUUUACUGUAGGCCACAAAACAAGGUCAUCUUUAUACCUGUCUUUUAAUAUCUCACUAGAGGAAUUAUGCUGCCAAACCGUGUCUGUGAUAUGGUUUGUCCUUUCCAGUGUGUGCUGCAGGUGUUAGCCUCAGUCUCCACCCAAUGUGGUGAUGUAAUGUGCCCUUUAAAGGCUGUGAGGAAUGGUGGUUUGUGUCUGCCGCCACCUCAGCUUCUGGGGAUCAGGUGAGCUGUCUGGUUCUAGUGUGUCAGUCAGGGAUGCUUAUAUCAGUUUAACCUGUGGUGAACGAACACUAUGUGAUGCCAUGUGAUAGCCUUCUGUCCUUGCAGUGAGUUAUUGGGGACAGAGGACAGGUGGCAGUGGUUGCUGGGCUUCAGUGGUGCGACCUCCCUGCUCUAGCCUGCCACCCUGCCACUCCUCCCAGAGUCACCCCGAUACCUGCUGCUGGACCGGGGCGACCAACAGGGCUGUGAGAAAAGUAAGCACCUGUGUGGAGCUCUCUGAGGAAUAUGGACAGGUAACAGGUUGCCUAAGGAAAACUACCUCACCAAAAAUGUACUUGCAAUUAGUGUUAUCAUAGUCAUCCUCACAAUCAUCAUUAUCAUUAUGCCUGACUUAGCUGUCUUUAUGUCCUUUUCCACCUGUGUAUCUUAUUUGGCUUUUCCCCUCUGUAGCCAUCCGCAGGCUGUGGGGCAGCAGAGACCACAGUGUGGAGGUGGAGAGAUGCUGGUGGAGAACGCCUCCCUGAAGGGGUUCCGCAGCCACACUGGUGGACCAGGCCCGUACACUGGCAACUGCUCACCGUCCUCGUCACCUUCAAUGCUAUGUGCCUUUACUAAUUUGACAUGUUCCAUAUGGCAAGGAUCCCCACCCACCAGUUGCGCCAUGUUGCCUUGGGAACCGGUCUGUGUGAGAUUUCCACCUCUGUGGACUGUGUGAGUCCUCUGUGGACUGUGUGCAGUUAACCAAUCGCUGCAGCUGUACAUAGUCUAUCGGUAAAUAGCCCACCCAUUUUUACCUACCUCAUCCCCAUACUGUUUUUAUUUAUUUACUUUUCUGCUCUUUUGCACACCAAUAUCUCUACCUGUACAUGACCAUCUGAUCAUUUAUCACUCCAGUGUUAUUAAUCUGCAAAAUUGUAAUUAUUUGCCUACCUCCUCAUGCCUUUCGCACACAAUGUAUAUAGACUCCCCUUUUUUUCUACUGUGUUAUUGACUUGUUAAUUGUUUACUCCAUGUGUAACUCUGUGUUGUCUGUUCACACUGCUAUGCUUUAUCUUGGCCAGGUCGCAGUUGCAAAUGAGAACUUGUUCUCAACUAGCCUACCUGGUUAAAUAAAGGUGAAAUAAAAAAUAAAAUAAAAUAUUCAACCCCUUUGUUAUGGCAAGCCUAAAUAAGUUCAGGAUAUAAUUAUCUGUAAGGUCUUUCAGUCGAGCAGUAAUUUUCAAACAGAGAAUUAACCACAAAGACCAGGGAGGUUUUCCAAUGCCUAACAAAGAAGGGUACCGAGAACAAGGAAACCGGCCAGGGAUUUCCCCAUAAGGCCGAAGGUGGCUUUAAAAGUUAGAGUUUAAUUGCUGUGGUAGGAGGAAACUGAGGAUGGAUCACUAACAUUGUAGUUACUCCAAUAUUAACCUAAAUGACAGAGUGGAAUUAAGGAAGCCUGUACAGAAUAAAGAUUAUCCAAAACAUGCAUCCUGUUUGCAAUAAGGCACUGAAGUAAAACUGCAAAAAAUGUGGCGAAGGAAUUAACUUUAUGUCCUGAAUACGAAGCGUUAUGUUUUGGGCAAAUCCAACACAGCACAUCACUGAGUACCACACUUCAUAAUUUCAAACAUGGUGGUGGCUGCAUCAUGUUAUGUGUAUGCUUGUCAUCGGCAAGGACUAGGGAGUUUUUUCUGAUAAAAAGGAACUGAAUAGAGCUAAGCACAGGCAAAAUCCUGUUUGGUCUGUAGUCCAACAGACAAUGGCCAAUGCUCAACAACCAACUUCACAGAGCUUGAAGAAUUUUUACUCCGGAAGACUGCCAAAGGUAAUUAACAUGUAUUGACUCAAGGGUGUGAAUACCUAUCUGAAUGAG
ensembl:lncRNA